rnacentral:rRNA from 1 species
AGCAGCCGCGGUAAUUCCAGCUCCAAUAGCGUAUAUUAAAGUUGUUGCAGUUAAAAAGCUCGUAGUUGAAUUUCGGGGUCAGUAGGCUGGUCAUGCCACCGGUAUGUACUGGUCUUACUGAUUCCUCCUUCCUGACGAACCGUAAUGCCAUUAAUUUGGUGUUGCGGGGAAUUUGGACUGUUACUUUGAAAAAAUUAGAGUGUUUAAAGCAGGCUAACGCUUGAAUACAUUAGCAUGGAAUAAUGGAAUAGGACGUUCGAUCCUAUUUUGUUGGUUUCUAGGAUUGACGUAAUGAUUAAUAGGGAUAGUUGGGGGCAUUAGUAUUCAAUUGUCAGAGGUGAAAUUCUUGGAUUUAUUGAAGACUAACUACUGCGAAAGCAUUUGCCAAGGAUGUUUUCAUUAAUCAAGAACGAAAGUUAGGGGAUCGAAGACGAUCAGAUACCGUCGUAGUCUUAACCAUAAACUAUGCCGACUAGGGAUCGGAUGAUGUUAAUUUUUUAAUGACUCAUUCGGCGCCUUA